AUGCCGGCAGCCGCCGUGCCCGCGCCCGCGCCACCGGCGCCGAGCCUGGACGCGCGUACGGGCGGCCGCGUCCUGCGCCGAGCGGCGGCGCUCCUCCUCCACCCGGCCUCGCUCCCGCCGCUCCUCCUCGCGGCGCUCCUCCUCCUCCUCUUCCGGUCAGCCCUCUUUGCUGGCACGCUUCGCCUCUCCUCCUUCGCGGACCGCGAUCCCGCCCUCCGCUCUCUCCUUCUCCGCCUCUCGCCUCCCGCCCAGCCCUCCCCGCCGGCUCCGCAGCACCACCUCCCCCGCCGCCGGUCCCCCUUCACUUCCUCCUCGUCCUCCCUCUCCGAUGACGACUUCCUCGUCGGACCCUUCGACCCGGUCUCGUCCGCCCCCUCCAGCCGACGCAACGCCUCCUACCACAACAUCUUCUUCACCUCCUUCUCCACCCCCAAACCCUACCCCGUACCCCUCUCCCAGCUGCUCCCCUCAUCCGUUUCCCCCUUCCUCCUUGCCAUCCACAACGAGACCUCCUCGCCGAAGCCUGCCUCGCCCCGGGGCGGUGAGCUCAGGCUGCUCGACCUGACCAGGCGCGACGCUGCGGCGAUCAUCAACCUCCUCGCUCUGCUCUCGUCUGCUCAUGUGCUCGCGAUCCUUGGGUACAUCACUGUGCACUCCAUAGCUCUCGGCACGGUGUUCGCUUCUGUAGCGGGGCGCCACCUGCCUGAACGGCGGCGAGGGUUCUUCCUUUCCGGUGCGGCAAUGGGCGCUAGGAGGCUCACUGGGUUUGCAUUCCUGCGGUGGGCAACUCGGGAUGCGGUUGUGCAGAUGCUCUGCCUCUGGUUCUUUGCAGACGUGCAUGACCAGGCGCAGCUGUUCAGGCUCUUUGUGGUCGCCAAGCUCAUGCCGUUUUCGGCAUCUGCAAACCCAUGGCUUGCGGCAGCCAUUUCUGGCCCAGAGCUCGAUGGCUUCUUCAUUGCGUGGGCUCUUCUUGAUGCUGUUGUAUCGGUGUUGUUCACGGUGGUGCCAUGGGUGGUUGCAAUGGAUCGUGAUCCGCGUCCACCUGGCCGCAAUGCUGUGAAGGAAGGCUGCUAUCUUGUGUCAUUGAUGGCAACCGAUGCCACCUUGAUCAAGUGCUGGGAGACAGUGGUGUGUGGCAGCAUGGGGCGGCUCAUUAUGGUUACAUUUGGUGGCAAAGUUCUUGGCGGGUUCCUCCACUCAUUUGCAGAGGUGUACUUCAUGGUGGUGUGGCUGAUGUUCUACUUUGCAGCAAGGUGUAAGGAAUCACGAUUGGGUGGCCGUCAGUUUGGACUGGAGGAUGUGGCAGCUGCUCUCAAUUGA
rnacentral:rRNA from 1 species